rnacentral:lncRNA from 1 species
UAUCAAGUUGCAAAAUUUGGAGGAUGCUUAAGUUUCGCCUUGAAGGGUGGAACGCGAUAGGAUUCAAAGAUC